CUUAAUACCACCUUUCCCCAGAGUUCUCAUAGAUUCUCACCUGAACAGCUCACCCUACUGCUGACUUUUAGUAUUUAACCAGUGAGAUCACCACCCCCCCCCCCAUACUACAAGCUGGGAAGUGUCCCUGAUGCUCCCUCUCCAUUUCUACAUGACUUCUUUCCUCAUACCCUACCAUCUACACCUCCCCAGAUUUAAUUUUUUUUAACGUUUAUUCAUUUUUUGAUAGAGAGAGACAGAGUAUGAGUGGGGGAGGGGCAGAGAGAGAGGGAGACAUAGAAUCCGGAGCAAGGUCCAGGUUCUGAGGUGACAGCACAGAGCCUGAUGAGGGGCUCCAACUCAUGAACUGUGAGAUCAUGACCUCAGCUGAAGUCGGACAUUUAACCAACUGAGCCACCCAGGUGUCCCUACACCUCCUUAGAUUUUAAAACAAGUAUUUCUAUGUAUAUCAAUGGAUGCAAAGGGGAAGUUACCAAAUUCAUGUAUUGAAGCCCUCAUCCCCAUUGUUUUUGGAGGUGGCGCCUUUUGGAAGAAAUUAGGUUGUGAGGGUGAGCCUUCAUGGAUUAGAUUCGUGCCCUUGUAAGAAGAGUCAUAAGAGAGAAGAUUUCUUGCUAUCUCUGCCACGUGAGGACACAGUAAAAUGAUGGCAGUCUACAAAUUUGGAAGAGGGCUCUGCCCAGAACCCAAACAUGUUGACAUCCUGAUCUCUGACUUCCUAGCCUCCUGAACUAUGAUAAAUAAACUCCCAUUGUUUAAACCA